CGCAUUUCUUGCACAACCAUUCGUGGUUGGGCUUCAUACGUCGUGAUGCAUAUAUGCCUCCUGUUUUCACGUACCUGUCCGAGCAUCAGUUUGGAACUGUGAACUUUUAGUCUUUUUUUCAUAAUCUGAACUUGUUUUCCAGAAGUGGCCAGAACUAAAUAUUUGUGCCAGAUGAAGCAAGGAAAUUUCUCUCAGGUAUCCGUACAUUUACAUGUACAUGUAGCUCGAGACUUCAAGCCUGAAGGUGCCUUGCCCUCUGCAGGCCACCUGUUAAUCUGUUGCAAGUCAACAUGAUAUGACUACAGAGGUUCGAACAUUCAAAAGUUCAAUAGUCAACAGAUGCUGCAGAAAGCCAAAUAGAUCGGCAAGGCAGCACACAAUUAUCAUGGAGGAUAGAAAGAUUAUUGCAACCCUAACCCGUGUGAUCCUUGAAUAUCCACCAUGAGACGGUGAAUUUUUGGAGAGGAUAGAUUAACCCCAGACCCUGCCAAAUCCAGAUUGAAGCUGAGGAAAGUAGUUAUUCAGGUGCACCAGACAUCCUAAUCCACAGACGUUCACAUUGUUCAGCUUGAUCUCUUAAGGUUGACAUAGCUGAGCCUUGACUGUUGUUUGAUAAGCCAGCUUUGUGUAUGAGUCACCCGACUCUUCUGUUGCCUGACAACUGAAUUUGACUGGUCACAUUACCAACCAGAGCUGUAGUCUUUCCUACAAACCAAAACGAUAUCCUAGAGAUGGAUUGAAACAAACCUUAGGUGUUUGUAAACAGAUAGUUGUGAUUUGAUGCCUCUUCCUGACACUCAACACAGUGAGUCUUCCAGAGAACAGUCUUUUUUCUACUGCAGUAAAAACCUCAUGCCGUGGAAAAAAAGUUGAAGAUUCAUAAUCUUAGAAAAUACUUUGUUGGUUCACAAUUUUAAAACUAAUGAACUGUGAAUGUGACUUGUAUUGCAACUGUGCUGUGAAGCAGAUAAAUAUGAGAUACAGACUCGAUAGGAAUUAUUUUCAAGUUGGAGAAUUCAAGGGUGUUAAGGUUAAGACAGACGUUUUGUUCGUGCGGUGCACUUUUGGGCAAGAAAGUUUCCUUGGGCCACUUCAACCAAACUUACAGAGCUGUUUGAAGAGGGAUGCUGUGUUCGGUAGUGAAACUCUACAUCACAACUUCAAGAAAAUAAACGUGUACAACAGAGGGGGCUCUUGCUACUGUUGGUCAGGCUCAUCAGUUUUAUUUGCUUGAAGGUUGUGUAGUGAUCCAAAAUUUUUCCAUUUUGAUUGUGAUCCUUAUUUGGCUUAAUCCAGUGGAACCUAGGAUUGGGAGGCAAAGAUUACGUUAAUUUUUGUAUUUUCCCACUGUGAAAUAAUAAUUAUGCCACUAAUACAGCUUCUGCUUGGGCACAGUGGCGCUUAGAUAAGCCGAUGGAUAGUUUAAAAGCAGCUGAAAGUGUCCAAUUUUAAAUGUGGUUUGGCUGUAUCAGCCUUGACUGCAAAGGUCGUCAAAUUUUGAUGUGAGAAUUUUCUGUUUGUGAAAGAGGAGUACUAAUAAGACUGAAACAGAAAUAAAGUUGCUUAUAACUGAUCAAGCUG